GACGAACGCUGGCGGCGUGCUUAACACAUGCAAGUCGAACGGAAAGGCCCUGCUUUUGUGGGGUGCCCGAGUGGCGAACGGGUGAGUAACACGUGAGUAACCCGCCCUUUACUGUGGGAUAACUUCAGGAAACUGGGGCUAAUACCGGAGAGGAGCUCCUGCUGCAGGGGGGGGGUUGGAAAGUUUAGGCGGUUGGGGAUGGACUCCCGGCUUAUCAGCUUGUUGGGGGGGUAGUGGCUUACCAAGGCUUUGACGGGUAGCCGGCACGAGAGGGGGAACGGCCACCUGACGCCUGCGGGACGCAGCAGUGGGGUACGGGAGGCAGUAGUGGAGAAUCUUGCACAAUGGUGGCGCGCGUGAGACGAAGGUCUCGCGAGCGUGAUGACGGCCUUCGGGUUGUAAACCGCUUUCGGCUGAGACGUAGCGGGAUUGACGGUAAUGGGUAAAGAAGCACCGGCUAACUACGUG
rnacentral:rRNA from 1 species